AAUAAUGUUAUCGAAGGGAUUCAACAAAAACAUUGUAUUAUUUUUCGAUACAAGGGAACUAUAUAUACAUAAUCGAAUUUGAAGGUAUUAAUUUGCAUGAUUCGGGUUUAAUAAAUGAAACGAAAGAGUUAGCUUUUGACUUUUUAUUUAUUUAUUUUAAUCGUGUGAGACUCAUCAUACGACAGUGUUUUCUUGUUAAAGAGCAAAACAGCUCCAAUCUAAUAAGUUUAGAUGAAAGUAUACUCUUGUUACUAAGCAAAUUUUUCUUAUUAAUAAUAAUAGUAUAGAUAAAAAUUCAGUUUUCCAAGCAAUUUUGCAAUACAACCGCGCAAGACUCAAAUACAUUCAAGUGAUAACAAUAUUAUAGGCCAGACGCAGGAAUAAUUUUUCUGUUUUCUUCUAGCUUAUUUUUUUAAAUUUAUUUUUCUUUUCAAAUUUAUAUGGUUAUUGCAAGGAGAGGAAAAGAAAAGAAAAGCAUCUUUAAUUAGUAUCCAAGCAGUUCUUGUCACAAAAAAGUAAAAGAAAAAGAAAAAGUAGUUCUGCUAGGCUAUGAGAUGGAAAUAAUGCAUGCCUAUAACCUAGUAGGCAAAUUGUGCUCUUAUUCAUGUGGUGGACCUCAGGAAAAUGCAGGUGGGGUUUCUGCUAGAUAAUGAAAUUGGGUAGCUUGUGGGUUUGUGAUCAAAUGGGGUCAACAACAAGAAAUUAGAACAGUUUCCCCACUAGCAUAUGAGUGAAUUUGUGACCAUAUGGUUAACGUUAUAUCAG
rnacentral:lncRNA from 1 species